AUUGAACGCUGGCGGCAGGCCUAACACAUGCAAGUCGAGCGGAUGAAGCGAGCUUGCUCCUGGAUCCAGCGGGGGACGGGUGUGUAAUGCCUAUGAAUCUGCCUGCCAUUGCUUGAGAACGUCCUCAAACAGGCGCUAAUACCGCAUACUCCCUGAUGGAGAAAGUGGGGGAUCUUUGGAACUUUUGCUAUCAGAUGAAUCUAGGCCGGGUUAGCGAGUUGGUUGGGUAGAGGGCUACCUAGCCGACCAUCCGUAGGUGGUCUGAGAGGAUGAUCAGCCACACUGGAACUGAGACACGGUCCAGACUACUACGGGAGGCAGCAGUGGGGAAUAUUGGACAGUGGGCGAAAGCCUUGUCCAGCCAUGCCGCGUGUGUGAAGAAGGUCUUCGGAUUGUAAAGCACUUUAAGUGGGGAGGAAGGGCAGUAAGUUAAUACCUUGCUGUUUUGACGGUACCAACAGAAUAAGCACCGGCUAACUACGUG
rnacentral:rRNA from 1 species